UACUAGAGUAGCACUCGCAUAUCAAUAAGCGGAGGAAAAGAAACUAACAAGGAUUCCCCUAGUAACGGCGAGUGGAGCGGGAAGAGCUCAAAUUUGAAAUCUUAAAGGGUUUCCCUUUACGAAUUGUAGUUUAAAGAAGUGUUUUCUGUUGAGGUUUUGGUAAAAGUUCUUUGGAAUAGGACAUCAUAGAGGGUGAGAAUCCCGUAUUUGACCUUUACUUUCAACUUUGUGAUACACUUUCAAAGAGUCGGAUUGUUUGGGAAUGCAGUCCAAAAUGGGUGGUAAAUUUCAUCUAAAGCUAAAUAUUGGCGAGAGACCGAUAGCGAACAAGUACCGUGAGGGAAAGAUGAAAAGAACUUUGAAAAGAGAGUUAAACAGUACGUGAAAUUGUCAAAAGGGAAGCGUUUGACACCAGUGUUGUUUUUCUGAAAAUCAAUUAAAGAACUGUUUAUGCUAAGCUGUUUAGACUUUAUCAGCUAUCUGUUUAGUUUUGAGCUUUUCUUUAAUGCACUUUUCAGUUAACAAGUCAACAUCAAUUUCUUUUGCUGUAAAAAAGCUUGAGGAAGGUGGCUUGAGAUUCGUCUUAAGUGUUUAUAGCCUCUUGCCUAUGCAGUCGGAGAGAUUGAGGUCUGCAGCGUAGAUCCUUCGGGGCUAAAUGCAUUUGUGCUAAGUUAUAGCAUUUUAUAGACAACUUGUUGACUAUGAUUUGUCUUGUAGCUUACUCGCUUAUGUUAUUUUACCUACGCUUAGGAUGUUGAUCUACAGAGCGAGAGU
rnacentral:rRNA from 1 species